GCGUCCGAUUCCUUGAUGUCUCGGAUUGCACAUACCACAAAGAAGUCUCUUUUACAGCUACGUACAGGCCUCACGCGUCCUACCAUCUAUUCUGUCUUCUGAUGAAGGACUGUCCUGACAGUUGGAAGUAUCCACAGAGGGAGGCAACGAUAUAAUACCUCCUCUGGUCAUGUUUUUACAAUGAAUUGGACACAGAAAACUAAUACAAUGAUCAAGAAUGCAUCAGAUAUAUCAAGUUUUUUAUGAGUACUAGUACAUUACUGUAAAGUAUCAUUGAUGACUUCAUCUGGAUGGUAAGCUAUUGUUUGUCAAGGAAGCAGCUACAUUUUUUGAAGAUAAAUCAUAAAGGCUAGUUGUCAAAAAGUACCUGAAUUUAUCAGAAGAGCCACCAUCUCUAUGAGCCUUGAUGGGGACAGGAAGCCAGUGGCUUGCCAAAUGUUACCCUGUGCUUGCAGCACUAGUGUCCACUGCCUGACCUACUGUUUUUGGUAAUGUGGCAGAUUGUGCAAGGACAUUUUUUAAGGCGCUUGACUGCUUAGAUUUGUCAACGAUUGAACACACGGUUGUGCACGUCAUCUGCAUUGCUACACAUCAUUGCUGACAAGCUCUCUUUGUUAACUUGACAGUCUGGCACACUUACCUCACUCCUCAAAGCUAAAGUUUUAUCAGGUGACCUUCUCCAAUAAACAUCUAUUUCAUCACUUUUAUAAAUUUGAUACUUAUAUAAAUUGUUAGAAAAUGUGUUUUUAAUUAAUUUUUAAUGGCUCCUCUGCUCUCAUCUACACUAAAUUUUUCACCAACAUUUUUAUCAAGACAAUGCUGUGCCUCUAUUUAAGUCUGAGAAUCUAACCAUCACUUACUCUGAAUUCCUUAAUUCCUAAACAGUAACAAACCUGCCUGCUGCAUUCCUUAUUUCAUCGCAUAUUCACUAUGCAGUGCUGUGCAAACUAUUUAUACACAGCCUCAUUUAACUGUGCAUGCUUCAAGAUUUUUAUGUUACAAUCUCUAUUGCUGCAGUGCUUGCUCUCUCACUCUUAUUAGUAGUCGUGUAUUGCACGUAUUGUUAUUUACGUUUCCUUAUCUCACACACAGUACGUAUGCUAUUUUUAAAAUCCUUGGCAAUUCUUUUGGUACAAUAGCCAUUUUUCAUGAGGUUCAAUGUCUUAUCUUAAAUUGAUUAUGUAACUCCCUCUUAAUCCCUCCAUGUUGAUUGCUGCUGCCAUCAGAUAUGGGCUUAGCUAAAAAAUUUGACUUUAUUAAAUUUACUUGAAAAUAUUCAAUUACAUGUACUUUAAAGAAUCUUUUUAAGUACAGUACUUCCAAGUAUAUAUUUAAAUUUUGUUAUAAGUUACAAUUUGAUGAAAGAUGUGGCAUCUCACUAACAUUUAUGCAUUUCUGAUUUAAGCAGGCGAUGAAUCACAAUAACGUGGCUAAAUUAUG